ACGUGACUAUCGUUUCUUUCUUUUCUGAAAACUCUCCGCGUACCGGCAGACGAUGGCUCACGGACCGGCACCGGUCCGCGGACCACACUUUGAGUAGCACUGGUGUACAGUACUGUA